AAUUUUUCAGUUUUGUUUCUAAAUGAGGCGCUAGAGAAGAUCUCAAACUGCUAUUGGUGCUAUUGGUUGUCAUUCGUUCAGAAAUCAUACAUUCUGAAACUCUGCACCCAUUGAAUAACUUCCACUGCCCCUGCCUUACUCCCAUGACCACGCCUCUACUUUCUGUGUCUACAAAUUUGACUACUGUAGGUAUCCAAUGGAUAGUCUCUGAAGUGAGGCCACCGGAGGAAGUAAUGCAAGACGAUGUCAAGGGAGCUGCAGCAGGCCAAGGGCAUUCUCCGGCUUGCUGAUGUUUGUGCCCCAGAUAGUGAAGUUUAGAGGCAGUUUGUCUUCAGAAGCACUUCAAAUAAAUACAUUGUAUUAGUCCGUUCUUGCACUGUUACUGGAGACUGCGUAAUUUAUAGAGAAAAGAGGUUUAACUGGCUCAUGGUUCUGCAGGCUGUACAGGAGGCAUGGCUGGGGAGGCCUAGGAAACUUA